rnacentral:misc_RNA from 1 species
UCAAACUUGGUCAUUUAGAGGAAGUAAAAGUCGUAACAAGGUUUCCGUAGGUGAACCUGCGGAAGGAUCAUUAGUGAAUAAACUUGUGUGAGUUGUUGCUGGCCACCUCGGUGGCAUGUGCACACUUGCCAUUGUUUCAUUCCUCCCUUCCACCUGUGCACUCAUUGUAGACCACACUGCUAACCUUUCAGGUCUGUGCUUAUGCAUAGUCCUGGUGUGAGGAUCCGUCCCACCUGGGCUGUCCUUGGGCUGUGUGGCCUAUGUUUACAUCAACCCUAUUGUAUGUGAUUGAAUGUAUGACCUGGGUUCUCUAUAGACCCAUAAAACCUAUACAACUUUCAACAACGGAUCUCUUGGCUCUCGCAUCGAUGAAGAACGCAGC